GUUGAUAGGUGUGGUUGGCAGGGAUGGCGUGGCAGAGAAUAGAAGUGGGGUAAAAUAGCAGGAUGUAGGUGAGAACAGGGCGGUGAGCUGAGGGCGAGGGCAGUUUCAGGUCAGGAGCGGAGGUGAGGAGCUCCACGUGAGGGGUCAGCAGAUGGUGACCACGCUGUCGUCAUCCACCGAUGUCUGAACACUCAGGUACUUUCUUUUUAGUAGCUGUGGUCACCGCGGGGCUUGUUUAUUGGCUUGUCCGUUCUUGUAAACUCUGGUACUUUCUCUUUGCGGUCCCAUCUGUCUCUCAUCACUAAAUGACACCAGAAAUUUUUCAUCACACUUCUAUAAAAAAAAUAAAAAUAAAUCUGAAGUGUCGCGAGAUGAAGCGUCGCUCUGAAAUCUACAGCUGAGACAAGAUGCACAUAAAGUAUUUGUUUAUGUAUGGGUGGAGAGUGAAGUGCUGCCAGUGAGGCUGGAAGUCAUAAAGACCCCUCUACUGUGGCCGCUGUGUGUGUUUUCGGGGGGGGGGGGCUGCUCUUAUGUCCCUGCCUCCUUUCCCUUAUUUUUGAAGACCCCGGGUGCACACACACACACACACACACACUCACAGAAGGAGAGGAGGAGAGAAGGAGAGAAGGAGAGAAGGAGAGCGCGAGGGAAAGGCUGCCCUUACUCUUUUCCUCCUCCCUCUCCCCCUCCCUCUUCCCUCCUCUCUUUUUUCUGAAUGGAUGUCCUCUCUCUAACCUCAAUUGAGAGCUGUGUAACAGGACACUGCCCUCCGCCGCUUAGGCUCGGCCCCCUCUUUAACAGCAACGCUAUAAGAGAGAGCAGCGUCGCUCCUGAGUGUGUGUGAGAGUCGGACAGUGUCAGUCAGGGGGCUGAGGGAGAGGAGGGUGGGUGAAGGGUGAGAGAAGACAGAGGGAGACUGCUGUGAAACAUGUGAUAGCGCAACUUUGGCGGGGCUUAUAGGGAGUUUAACGGCUGUGGUGUCUCCAGAGCUCUGGGAAAGCACCUUUAGCCCAGAGGGAGCCUCACACACUGUCUGUGUGUGUGUGAGAAAAUGUGUGUGUGUGUGUGUGUGAGGGCGCUGCUGCUGUCACUUUAAGCCUGUUACUGAUUACACUCAGAAGAAUGCAACGGGAGGAGGAAAAAAAAAAAGAGAGAGAGAUGAGGAGGCAUGUAAGGAUGAAAUCUUUUAGGAGUUGAGCUCCGGCAACUUUUGUGUGACUUGUCCUCGCAGCCGUGGACAGUGACGUGGGUGAGAAGUUGUUACCCAAUAGCGUCUCUCCCUCUCUGUCUCUUUCACUCUCUGCUGGACCAAGCAAAGUUAAAGUGAAGGGGAACCCGGGAUCCCUCUGUGAAGCAGGGACAGAGCAAACAGGACACCCAGACAUGGAGGAAAAGAAAGACACCACAGAGAAAGAGACUGAAUGAACAGGGGGGUUCCCUCAUUCCUCGCUCAGCGCCGGGAGGAAACUCUCACCCAGACUGGUUCUGCACAGAUCAAUCCAGAAACACCAUCAACCAUGUGUUCCCAGGGCCAUUCCACUGAGAGAUGGACUCAGCUGCAGAAGUGCGGAGUCUCCCCGCCCAGGCUCGACCGAACCGGCCGGCCUUCACGGUUCACGGCUCUGUGGCUGC